rnacentral:rRNA from 1 species
UACAGAGGGGGCAAGCGUUGUUCGGAAUUACUGGGCGUAAAGGGCGCGUAGGCGGCCUUCUAAGUCAUACGUGAAAUCCCUCAGCUUAACUGGGGAACUGCGUGUGAUACUGGAUGGCUUGGAUUUGGGAGAGGGAUGCGGAAUUCCAGGUGUAGCGGUGAAAUGCGUAGAUAUCUGGAGGAACACCGGUGGCGAAGGCGGCAUCCUGGACCAAUAUUGACGCUGAGGAGCGAAAGCCAGGGGAGCAAACGGG